UUAGCAAGCCGAACUAUCGCUUUUCCCGCUUGCGGGGAGGGAGGAAAGUCCGAACACUUAUUUGAUGGCCUCAUAUGAGUCAUCAAAACUAGUAGCGGGUAACGCCCGUCAGGGGUAACCCUAGAGGUGCGAACAGUGACGCCGGCGGCGAAAGCCAAAGGCAUCCCUCGUGGAUGAACCUGUAUGGUGACAUACAGGGUGAAACGGCUAAAUCCUUACUUGAGUGCAAUGCCAAAUUUGGUAGGCAGCUUGAGCCCGGUAGCAAUGCCGUGGACAGAUAGAUGAUAGUGUUAAAACAGAAUUCGGCUUACGAGCUUGCUAAGAGC
rnacentral:RNase_P_RNA from 1 species